CUUGCAGUGGUUACCAGCUUUAUACUUAUAUCAGUCUUAGGUCUAGGAUUUUAUUUGAAACGUUUCUUUGGCACUUUGGUUGUCAUCCUGUACUGGUUAAUUUACAGACAAUUCUGUUUGCUGUUCUCAUUCUGUAUGUUGGAAAAUGAAGAGCUUGAUGCUUUGGAAGCCGAUAUGGACUUUGAAUCGAAUUCAGUCCCAUUACCUCCAACCAGACAAGGAGACUGAUCAUGAUUCUGAGCUUAACUUACCUCUGCACCAAGUGGCCAUGCAGCAGUUCCGCCGAACCGGCAGCAGGAGGAUGAACUGGGACUGCCUACCGUGCCGCACGCAUCAAUUCGUACCUGAAUGAAAGUAACAAAAAAGCUAUGGUGUAGGUUUUGAUCUCGUUGUAAAUGGUCGGCACUUUGUUUAUGCAUGGACAAAUUCAUUGUAUCUUGCAUCAUAUACCACUGCAAUUUGUUGAACGAUGGAAUGUCUCUUUCCCUUUGUGCUGGAACAAUAGUGUGUGAUAAAGGGUGUGUUCUCUAUACGGCUGUACAUCCUGUUGUUAGUAUGUUUCUGCUGAGUUGAAUUGGUA